rnacentral:lncRNA from 1 species
AGUCCUUCGCCGUCCCUCGCCGUCCUUCGCCAUCGCACGCCACCGCACCCCAUCUCUCGAAAUCUGCAGACAUCUUGAUUUUUCCCACGCUGUCUGUCAGGUCUCCGCCGCCACUCGACGCCAGGGCGCCGGGCCUUGUGGGCUGUGCUGCACCUCGGACGGCUUCGCACCAGCCAGCGCCCUCUCUCUCCUGCAGCACUCUGAUCUGCACCCCCUGAGGGGCUUCCACUGUCCGCGGGGUGAGAAUGCCCCUGGGAGUGUCACAUGACUGCCGCCCCAUGUGUGUGAGAGGCGUCCUCUGGGAGAGCAUGGAUCCUGAGGUCCCAGGAUUGUCAGCUGACCUCUGUCCUGUGUGCCCAGUGGCCCCAGGUGACGUGUCUUCAAGAAGAGGCUGAGCUGCGGUGCUUGUAAGAGUCAUGUGCUGUUCCUGGGGCUUGGAUGAUGUAGGGGAAGCAAGGUGAAAGUGGUAUCCCGUGGUUCCACGUUCUGUCCUGCUGUGGGGCUGUCCCUCACAUGCUUUCAGUGGCUGUUGCAGAGGAAGAGCCUCCGGAAAUCUGCGUCUCAGCCUUAGAUCCAAGGACAGUCCAAGGAAGUCCUAAGACCAUGGAGUUGGUGAUCUGGGAUCUGGGUUUGCUGAUAUUUCUCACCGUGAAUCUCUUGGUGGUGUUUGUGGGCACGAGAGGGGCAGAGAAUGGAGAGUGAGGCUACCACAUGAAGCGUCACCAGAGCUGCUCCCUGCUGCCUGCUCAGAGCACCCCGGAUCCACUGUUCAAUCUGCACAAGAUUCGGGGUCCAGACAUGGGAGACUUCAGCUGCCUCAGAGGACCGUGGACAGGGAAGGCCAGCCUCGCAUCCCUCUGUCCAUGCCUGGAAUGACUUUAAUAACCAAGAGUUUUAUUUUUGAAUUUGUAGCUGUCGUUCACUUUUUACCCACCCAUUCAAUAAACCUUACAGAAUUGC